GACGAACGCUGGCGGCGUGCUUAACACAUGCAAGUCGAACGGUGAUGGCCAGCUUGCUGGUCUGAUCAGUGGCGAACGGGUGAGUAACACGUGAGCAACCUACCCCAGACUCUGGAAUAACCAUGGGAAACGAUGGCUAAUACCGGAUACGAGACGCACACGCAUGUGUGGUGUCUGGAAAGAUUUAUCGGUCUGGGAUGGACUCGCGGCCUAUCAGCUAGUUGGUGAGGUAAUGGCUCACCAAGGCGACGACGGGUAGCCGGCCUGAGAGGGCGAACGGCCACACUGGGACUGAGACACGGCCCAGACUCCUACGGGAGGCAGCAGUGGGGAAUUGUUCACAAUGGGCGCAAGCCUGAUGACGCAACGCCGCGUGGGGGAUGAAGGCCUUCGGGUCGUAAACCCCUGUCGAAUGGGACGAAAUUGACGGUACCUGCAGAAGAAGCCCCGGCCAACUACGUGC
rnacentral:rRNA from 1 species